rnacentral:rRNA from 1 species
CCUAUCAGCUUUAGACGGUAGGGUAUUGGCCUACCGUGGCAAUGACGGGUAACGGGGAAUUAGGGUUCGAUUCCGGAGAGGGAGCCUGAGAAACGGCUACCACAUCUAAGGAAGGCGGCAGGCGCGCAAAUUACCCAAUCCUAAUACAGGGAGGUAGUGACAAGAAAUAACAAUACAGGACUUUUUGGUUUUGUAAUUGGAAUGAGUUAAGUAUAAACCCCUUUACAAGUAUCAAUUGGAGGGCAAGUCUGGUGCCAGCAGCCGCGGUAAUUCCAGCUCCAAUAGCGUAUAUUAAAGUUGUUGCAGUUAAAAAGCUCGUAGUUGGAUUUCUGUUAAUAAUUUAUAUAAAAUAUUUUGAUGAAUAUUUAUAUAAUAUUAACAUAAUUCAUAUUACUAUUUUUUUUAGUAUAUGAAAUUUUACUUUGAGAAAAUUAGAGUGCUUAAAGCAGGCAUAUGCCUUGAAUACUCCAGCAUGGAAUAAUAUUAAAGAUUUUUAUCUUUUUUAUUGGUUCUAAGAUAAGAAUAAUGAUUAAUAGGGACAGUUGGGGGCAUUUGUAUUUAACAGUCAGAGGUGAAAUUCUUAGA